UUGAGUUGAGAGGGCAGAAACACAAGCUACGCGUGUAGGGGACCAAACUCGCUCACACGCGGAUGCCACUUCAAGAAGAACAAAUACAAGGCGUUUCUCAAUGUCAAGGAAGGAUCCUUCGAAGCCAGAAUUUGAAGGAUGCUACGUCAUCGACGUCCGUCGAAGGACCGUUCCAAUGUCGAGGAUCCUCCGAAUCCUACCAAGGACUGAGUCCUUCGUUCGGAGAAUUUCCCAUAGACGGCGAAGGAUGCAUAAGUGCAUCCUUCGCGGCCCCAAAUCACCCACAAUCCAAUGCGCACAGCUUUUGCCAGCUUGUAAAAAUGAAUUAAAUGGCGGAACUAAGCGGGGAGUUGGAGCGGCAUCGCUGACGGCGAAAUAAUAAUUUAAAUGGACUAAGGAACAAACGUAGACUGUCACUGGGGAUGGGAAAGCCAAAGACAAGCAGGGAGACAGAUGUUGAAUAGAUUAUUUGCUAUAUUUGAGAUUGACAUUCUAAAAAUAAAUGCAUUAAAUUAA